UCGCGCGCCGCCCUCGCCUCCAAUCCCCGGUGCCUGCCCUAAUUUCCUGCUCUCGGGAACCUGCCGCCGCAGCCGUGGUGCGCUCCCUACAGUCCCUACUGUACCCUCCCGGCCGAGGCAGCGGCGGCCGCGGGUAGCGCUGAUGCAACUCGCGCUGCUCUUGCCACCGCCCGCCCGCUAACGGGGCCGGCGGCCGGGGUGGGGGGGACCCGCGGCUUCCCGAGGCAGCGAGCCUCUCCCUCUCUCCCUCUCUGCCACCCUCUCCUGCGCCCCCAAAGGCAGGCCGGUCCUGUGAGGCUGACCUCAUGGUUGAUAUAGAAGACUAUCAAACGGACCAGACAGAGAACUAAAACCGAAGAAAGGAUCUCAAUGAAGGCAUGCCACAGGGAUGCGAACUGGAAGUUUCAGAAACGGGACAAGAGCCAAAGUGCACAGGGACAGGUAGCUGUGGGGGAAAUACUGAAUUCCCUGUGGUGAUUAUUGGCACAGGAAACCCGUGAAGCACGUGGCCCCACGGCACCUUUCCAGACCACUCCGUCCUUGGGUUCCCCCGGCACUUCCCACCCGGACCACAGCCCUUUAUCAGAACCAGCUUCGGAUCGCAGGUUGGGUUAGCGUCAGCUGCUGCAUGUGAACCCGAAAGGGCUCCGUCUUGUGUGCUCACAGCACCGACCGUGAGUGUAGCCUCCCAGGCCUGGUCCAGCCCCGGCUUUAGGCCCAGAAAGAAUUGAAAUUCACAGGAGACACCGACUCUCGGAUUCUUCCUUGGAUAUAACCAAGAGGUCCCCGGAUCUAAGAGGCGUUCCCAUCCCCGAGUCUCUCCUCUGAAAUACGCUUCGGUAUGUCCAUGUCCCUUCUCAGUAACGUAGAUCCCAGGUAGCCGCUUCACGACUGAGGACAGAUGGCUGCAUCAGUGACGUGCGGUGCACACCACACCGUUGCCUUGUGUCAAGCUUGGGGCUGAUCUCGGUCAAGACAUUUCCACCAAGCCGCGUCUCCGCUGUGUGGUGCUGCUGCGCAUGGUUCUGUGGCAUUUCUUCCUGCUCAAGUUCACGAUGUUAGAAUUCGGCCCAUUGUCAAGCACUCUGUCAUCCGAAGGCAUCCACGCUGCCGUAUCCCUUCCGACUUCCUGCUGUCAGAAGCCUCGGAAAAGCACAAGAUGUACCUGAGCCUUCGUUUCUUCAACUGGUCCAUCUUUUCCUGUUCCUCAAUGGCAGAUACCCCUACCUUAUGGGGCUUUCGUGAAGGCAGGAUUGGACCACAAGGUGUGGAAUGACGGGAUAGGAAUUGAGACACUUCGCUGAGGAAGAAAUACCUGAUUUCUGAAAACAGCCUAUAUCCCGAACAGUUUCCUGGAAAUGACACCACUGGUUAACUUUUAUAAAGCAUUCCAAGUGUUGAUCAGCAAGUUUUGAUGCUUCCAAGUGACCCAAGAGGAAAUCCUGCAGCAGAAGUUUCUGGGGGGAUCCCAUCGGAUGCAGGAGAUCACCGGCUCCCCCAGUCAGGGACUUGACGCUCUUGACCUCGGCGCUCUUGACCCCAGCACCCAGACCAGCCUCUGUGAAGAGACACAGCCCGUGAUGCGACCUGUCCUCACACACAGACAAUCGUGGUGCCUAUUGGACAUAGCGAGGCUAUAUUUUCUAGACUUGCUCUGUUUGCUGAAAACCCGAAGAAGCCAGGAAAUUGCUUCCUGUGCCUGAAGUGCACGAGCAAGGCUGGAAAACAGAGCCAAGACACAAACUGUGAAGCAACAGCUCAACCUCCGAGAGCGAGUAGGCUUCGCGCUAUUUCUGGCCAGAGCAGAUGUGGCCUCGGGGGGCUGUGGGGAACAGUAUCCCUCAGGUAAAAAUAAACUCGUACCAUUAGGACCCAAAGGAGGCCGAUUCCUCAUUCCCAAGCAGAUCGUGAACUGGGAGCCAUGUGGGAAGACGACUGGUUUGGGAAUCCGACAGGGUUCUGCCCUGGAUUUCUUCCAGAUUGCGCUACCAAUCGGCCAUCUGGUCUCGGUGAGUGCAUAUGACUUACAUGUACAUUUUUUUUAAAUCAACAACACAAAAAAUAAGGCAAACACAACUGAGCGCCGCCAUGGAGUGCGUUCUAGGCAACAAUCCUCACGUUUCGACCAGCUCCCCGCAGAGUAGCGGAGUACUUGGCAGAC